CUUCCAGCAGAAAUCCAACUACGAGCUUUUUAACUGCAACAACUUUAAUAUACGCUAUUGGAGCUGGAAUUACCGCGGCUGCUGGCACCAGACUUGCCCUCCAAUUGUUACUCUGAAAGGGGUUUGGAUUCCUAUCAUUCCAAUCACUAGAAAUGAAAUUUCCAGUGUUGUUAUUUCUUGUCACUACCUCCCUGAAUCAGGAUUGGGUAAUUUGCGCGCCUGCUGCCUUCCUUAGAUGUGGUAGCCGUUUCUCAGGCUCCCUCUCCGGAAUCGAACCCUAAUUCCCCGUUACCCGUCACUGCCACGGUAGUCCAAUACAGUACCGUCGAAAGCUGAUAGGUCAGAAACUUGAAUGAUCCGUCGCAGACCGAAGUCAACGCGAUCCGUUCGGUUACUAUGAAUCACCUGAGGACCACCGGAAGGUGGGUUGGUUCUGUAUCUAAUAAACACUGCCCUUCCAGGGGAAGAGGCAGUGUGCGCAUGUAUUAGCCAUAGAAUUACCACGGUUAUCCAUGUAGUAAAGACCAUCAAAUAAACUAUAACUGUUUUAAUGAGCCAUUCGCAGUUUAGCCGUAUAAAAGCUUAUACUUAGACAUGCAUGGCUUAAUCUUUAAGACAAGCAUAUGA
rnacentral:rRNA from 1 species